UUUAGUCCGGUUUAUGAUUUUUGUUACAAUUCUUGAAUUUUGUCGGCGGAUAUAUAGGGGAUUUCACGCCGGUAUGUACCACGGAGCUCGGUGCGAUGGCUAAAUACGCUCAUGAGUUCGAGAAGAGAGGCGUGAAGCUCCUUGGUUUGUCUUGUGACGACGUACAGUCCCACAAAGACUGGAUCAAAGAUAUCGAAGCCUUUGCGCUCGGAAGCAAGGUGAAGUACCCGAUAAUCGCAGACCCGA